UGCGAAGGGGACGGAGAAGGCUAUGUUGGCCGGGCGACGGUUGUCCCGGUUUAAGCGUGUAGGCUGGUUUUCCAGGCAAAUCCGGAAAAUCAAGGCUGAGGCGUGAUGACGAGGCACUACGGUGCUGAAGCAACAAAUGCCCUGCUUCCAGGAAAAGCCUCUAAGCAUCAGGUAACAUCAAAUCGUACUAAACCGACACAGGUGGUCAGGUAGAGAAUACCAAGGCGCUUGAGAGAACUCGGGUGAAGGAACUAGGCAAAAUGGUGCCGUAACUUCGGGAGAAGGCACGCUGAUAUGUAGGUGAAGCGACUUGCUCGUGGAGCUGAAAUCAGUCGAAGAUACCAGCUGGCUGCAACUGUUUAUUAAAAACACAGCACUGUGCAAACACGAAAGUGGACGUAUACGGUGUGCCGCCCGGUGCCGGAAGGUUAAUUGAUGGGGUUAGCGCGAAGCUCUUGAUCGAAGCCCCGGUAAACGGCGGCCGUAACAACGGUCCUGGGUAGCGAAAUUCCUUGUCGGGUAAGUUCCGACCUGCACGAAUGGCGUAAUGAUGGCCAGGCUGUCACCGAGACUCAGUGAAAUUGAACUCGCUGUGAAGAUGCAGUGUACCCGCGGCAAGACGGAAAAGACCCCGUGAACCUUUACUAUGCUUGACACUGAACAUUGAGCCUUGAUGUGUAGGAUAGGUGGGAGGCUUAGAAGUGUGGACGCCAGUCUGCAUGGAGCCGACCUGAAAUACCACCUUUAAUGUUUGAUGUUCUAACGUUGACCCGUAAUCCGGGUUGCGGACAGUGUCUGGUGGGUAGUUUGACUGGGGCGGUCUCCUCCUAAAGAGUAACGGAGGAGCACGAAGGUUGGCUAAUCCUGGUCGGACAUCAGGAGGUUAGUGCAAUGGCAUAAAGCCAGCUUGACUGCGAGCGUGACGGCGCGAGCAGGUGCGAGCAGGUCAUAGUGAUCCGGUGGUUCUGAAUGGAAGGGCCAUCGCUCAACGGAUAAAGGUACUCCGGGGAUAACAGGCUGAUACCGCCCAAGAGUUCAUAUCGACGGCGGUGUUUGGCACCUCGAUGUCGGCUCAUCACAUCCUGGGGCUGAAGUAGGUCCCAAGGGUAUGGCUGUUCGCCAUUUAAAGUGGUACGCGAGCUGGGUUUAGAACGUCGAGACAGUUCGGUCCCUAUCUGCCGUGGGCUGGAGAACUGAGGGCUGCUCCUAGUACGAGAGGACCGGAGUGGACGCAUCACUGGUGUUCGGGUUGUCAUGCCAAUGGCACUGCCCGGUAGCUAAAUGCGGAAGAGAUAAGUGCUGAAAGCAUCUAAGCACGAAACUUGCCCCGAGAUGAGUUCUCCCUGACCCUUUAAGGGUCCUGGAGGAACGUUGAAGACGACGACGUUGAUAGGCCGGGUGUGUAAGCGCAGCGAUGCGUUGAGGCCAACCGGUACAAU
rnacentral:rRNA from 1 species